CCUACGGGAGACAGCAGUGGGGAAUAUUGCGCAAUGGGCGAAAGCCUGACGCAGCGACGCCGCGUGAGGGAUGAAGGUCUUCGGAUCGUAAACCUCUGUCAGCAGGGAAGCACGGUCACUGUGCUAAUCAGCAGUGAAUUGACGGUACCUGCAAAGGAAGCACCGGCUAACUCCGUGCCAGCAGCCGCGGUAAUACGGAGGGUGCGAGCGUUAAUCGGAAUUACUGGGCGUAAAGCGCUCGUAGGCGGUAUGUCAAGUCAAGGGGGAAAUCCCCGCGCUCAACGGGGGAACUGCCUUUGAAACUGGCAAACUGGAGUGUGUGAGAGGAUAGGGGAAUUCCAGGUGUAGGAGUGAAAUCCGUAGAUAUCUGGAGGAACAUCAGUGGCGAAGGCGACUAUCUGGCACAUAACUGACGCUGAGGAGCGAAAGCGUGGGUAGCAAACAGGAUUAGAUACCCGAGUAGUC
rnacentral:rRNA from 1 species